GACGAACGCUGGCGGCGUGCUUAACACAUGCAAGUCGAACGGAAAGGCCCUGCUUUUGUGGGGUGCUCGAGUGGCGAACGGGUGAGUAACACGUGAGUAACCUGCCCUUGACUUUGGGAUAACUUCAGGAAACUGGGGCUAAUACCGGAUAGGAGCUCCUGCUGCAUGGUGGGGGUUGGAAAGUUUCGGCGGUUGGGGGUGGACUCGCGGCUUAUCAGCUUGUUGGUGGGGUAGUGGCUUACCAAGGCUUUGACGGGUAGCCGGCCUGAGAGGGUGACCGGCCACAUUGGGACUGAGAUACGGCCCAGACUCCUACGGGAGGCAGCAGUGGGGAAUAUUGCACAAUGGGAGGAAGCCUGAUGCAGAAACGCCGCGUGCGGGAUGACGGCCUUCGGGUUGUAAACCGCUUUAGCCUGUGACGAAGCGUGAGUGACGGUAAUGGGUAAAGAAGCACCGGCUAACUACGUG
rnacentral:rRNA from 1 species